rnacentral:rRNA from 1 species
UUAAUUGAAGAGUUUGAUCAUGGCUCAGAUUGAACGCUGGCGGCAGGCCUAACACAUGCAAGUCGAGCGGCAGCACAGAGAAACUUGUUUCUCGGGUGGCGAGCGGCGGACGGGUGAGUAAUGCCUGGGAAAUUGCCCUGAUGUGGGGGAUAACCAUUGGAAACGAUGGCUAAUACCGCAUGAUAGCUUCGGCUCAAAGAGGGGGACCUUCGGGCCUCUCGCGUCAGGAUAUGCCCAGGUGGGAUUAGCUAGUUGGUGAGGUAAGGGCUCACCAAGGCGACGAUCCCUAGCUGGUCUGAGAGGAUGAUCAGCCACACUGGAACUGAGACACGGUCCAGACUCCUACGGGAGGCAGCAGUGGGGAAUAUUGCACAAUGGGCGCAAGCCUGAUGCAGCCAUGCCGCGUGUGUGAAGAAGGCCUUCGGGUUGUAAAGCACUUUCAGUCGUGAGGAAGGUGGUAGUGUUAAUAGCACUAUCAUUUGACGUUAGCGACAGAAGAAGCACCGGCUAACUCCGUGCCAGCAGCCGCGGUAAUACGGAGGGUGCGAGCGUUAAUCGGAAUUACUGGGCGUAAAGCGCAUGCAGGUGGUUUGUUAAGUCAG